CCAACCAUCCCCCAUCAUCUCUUCUAUUUAUACGUGUCUUCCUCUCCGCAUUAUCUUGAGAAAUCUCCACUGCCUCCUCUAAUUUGGAUUGCUAGUGAGUCAUUCUUCCCAUCUUCCCUUCUAUUUAUUUUUCCUCACUUUUGAUUUUAAUCAUUUGGAUGCUUUGCGUUUUGUAAUAUGUUUGUUUUCCUUUUUUACUUCAAUGUUUUUACAUUCAUACAAGGGUGACCACGAAUUGAACAAUUGUGCUAAAAGGGGUACAUUUUCCUUUCCAUUUUUUUUUAUAAUAAAGUAGAUAUUUCGUUAAUAUGGUUUAUUAUUUUUGUUAGAUUACAUCUCUAUACACCCUCCAUCUAUUCUUGGUGUUUUGAACUCUAGUCACUCCGAACCUAAUCAAAACGGCCCAAAUUAAUUACACAUUUCUACAUUUAAUUUAGGUUAUAUUUAUUUUCACAUGUAUUGAGACAUUUGUUGGGGACAUUAUUAUUUGCUUGUAGGUAGUUCUUACACAUCAUAUUAUUCGGGGUGAGUGUAAUACAUAUUUAAUAAGAAAUUACAAUUUUUUUCUUACUACAUCAUAUAAAUGGAAUCAAUUAAUAUUUUUCUA